UUCAAAUCUUGAAUCUUUGCCAAAUACCAGUUGGCAGUUUACAGUUUACACCACCAAUGGAUCCACAUCUAAUGCCCAAUUGUCAUUCACAAAUCUACCCAUCUUUAAACUCUAAACAAAUACUCCCCAAAAUUAAAACCACCUAAAAAUUCCAUCUUUUUUUCUCUGCAACUCAGAGCCAAAUAGCCUUCAACAAUGGCGUCCAUGGCUCUGAAUUUCACCUCAACACCAAUAAAUCCUCUUUCAUUCAGAUCUCUUCCAUCACUUUCUUCAUCUUCCUUCAAAUCUCACCCCUCCAUUUCCAUCAAAUCUCUCAAAUCUAUCAAAUCUACCCCUCAAAAACCCUCACUUUUUACCCAAACACACAACCUUUUCCCCCCUACAUCUCUUCUCCAUCACCACAAUCCCCAUAAACUCAAGACAAUCUGUUUUUCUGCCACAAACCCACCUCCUCAAUCACCCCCCAAACCCCAAGGAGCUGCCCUAAAACCCUUAUUAGCUGCAAUUCUUACUGGAGUUUUGAUCUGGUUUAUCCCUACACCAAAUGGUGUAUCCAAAAAUGCAUGGCAACUUCUUUCAAUUUUUCUUGCAACAAUUGUAGGAAUCAUAACUCAACCUCUCCCUUUAGGUGCUGUUGCAUUAAUGGGUUUAGGUGCAUCAGUUUUAACCAAAACUUUAACUUUUUCAGCUGCUUUUUCUGCUUUUGGUGACCCGAUUCCAUGGUUAAUUGCACUUGCUUUCUUUUUUGCUAGAGGGUUUAUAAAAACUGGUCUUGGAAACAGAAUUGCUUACCAAUUUGUCAAAUUAUUUGGUUCUUCUUCAUUAGGGUUAGGUUACAGUUUAGUCUUUAGUGAAGCACUUUUAGCCCCUGCAAUUCCUUCAGUUUCUGCUAGAGCUGGUGGGAUUUUUCUGCCAUUAGUUAAAGCUCUUUGUAUUGCUUGUGGAAGUAAUGCUGGUGAUGGAACUGAAAGAAAGUUAGGAGCUUGGUUAAUGCUUACUUGUUUUCAAACUUCUGUGAUUUCUAGCUCUAUGUUUUUGACUGCUAUGGCUGCUAAUCCUUUAAGUGCUAAUUUGACAUUUAAUACAAUUAAUCAAACAAUUGGUUGGAUGGAUUGGGCUAAAGCUGCUUUUGUUCCUGGGUUAGUUUCUUUGAUUGUUGUUCCUUUGUUAUUGUAUAUUGUUUACCCUCCUGAGGUUAAGAGUAGUCCUGAUGCGCCUCGCCUCGCUAAGGAGAAGUUGGAGAUGAUGGGUCCUAUGAGCAAGAAUGAGAUCAUUAUGUCUGUUACUUUGCUUCUGACGGUGGGAUUAUGGGUUUUUGGAGGAAUUUUGAACGUUGAUGCUGUCACCGCUGCAAUUCUUGGAUUAUCUGUGCUGCUUAUAACUGGUGUCGUGACCUGGAAGGAGUGCUUAGCUGAGUCAGUUGCUUGGGAUACCCUUACGUGGUUUGCUGCUCUUAUCGCCAUGGCUGGUUACCUGAAUAAAUAUGGCCUCAUUGCAUGGUUCAGUGAAACCGUAGUAAAGGUUGUUGGUGGUUUAGGUCUAUCAUGGCAGAUGUCCUUUGGAAUUCUCGUCCUGCUUUAUUUCUACUCUCAUUACUUCUUUGCUAGCGGAGCUGCACACAUAGGUGCCAUGUUUACAGCCUUCCUAUCAGUUGCGAGCGCACUAGGAACUCCACCCUUUUUGGCCGCAAUUGUUCUCUCGUUCCUCUCUAACCUUAUGGGUGGCAUUACACACUAUGGUAUCGGUUCUGCUCCCGUUUUUUAUGGCGCUAAUUAUGUUCCCCUUCCCACAUGGUGGGGCUUUGGCUUCCUUGUCUCGAUCGUGAACAUUCUUAUCUGGCUCGGAGUGGGUGGCAUUUGGUGGAAGGCCAUCGGGUUAUGGUGAUCAGAUGCUCGUUGAAUUUGUUGACCUUGCAAUUCGUUAUUCUCGCAAAUACAUUUACAAAACAAACUCAUAGAGAAUUUGUAGUAAAACCAACCACGCAAAAGAUUAGAAGAACCUUUUUGAUAAAACUUUUGACAAGGACAUCAGUGAUCAGACCAUUGGAGAACAAGGUUUUUGAGAUCCUACGUGGACCACAAUUUUUAUUUUAUUAUGAGACUGAUAGAAAGAGAUGACUAGGUGAGAUUUGAUCUCAAGAUCUUAUCUGAAUUAUUCGAUACUUGCUUCAACUGAAACAAGAUCUGAUUCUCCGUGGAUUACAAUGUGUUUGUUCUUACUGCUUGGAUUUUAGGAAGGUUUAUAAGGGUAUUUUUAUUAUUUAUACUACUCGUUUAUUAGAGAUUGCUACAAUUGUUUCCUGUAUUUUAGUAUGUGUUUUUGGUUUUAGAGAAUAUGAUAAAUUAUGUUAUUGUAAUAAAGAUAAAUGUAACAAAUUGAGUAUGACAAUUAAUGUAUUAUGUGGUCCAAGUUCU